rnacentral:ribozyme from 13 species
AAAAGAGAGAAGAGAAAGAUCAUGGGGAAUCCCCCUCAAUAAUUGUAUUCCUCUCUUCAAAUUUUCCAUUUUUUUUUCUUUUUCUUUUUCUUUUCUUU